UCCAAAGGUGAAUCUUUUGGUUGGUGAUUUUGAUGAUAGCCACAAAGCAAGCAGGCUGUAUGGUAGCCUUGAAAACCAACAGGCCACAAUCACAGUGAAAACCUCAGGUUGGCAGCCACUGGAGGAUACAAAAUGAGUUUGGAUCUCCUUCAAUGCCCCAUUCCCAGAGAACUGUCAUUAUUUGACCUGCUGGUAGUUCCCUAAAGGACGUGCAAGGAUGUUUUUAUUUGACUGGACACUUGAAGCUUGCCCUGUAUGAACAGCCCCCAUCUUCCCAUGCUUGUCAAAAAUCAGAGGCAACUAACACUGCGGCUUCCUGAGGGAACUCCGGAUGUGACUCCUGUUACAUGAAAAUGGAAGAGGUCAGAGUUGUCCAAGAGGGAGGCCAGCCACAUCCAGGCAGGGCCCCCAUGGUCAGAACCCUGCUAGAGCCAUCAAGGUCCCAGAUGAGUCUGGAAGUGUUAGUUGCAAAGAUAUGCAUUUACUUCUCUGGCUACAAAAAAGAAUAGAAAUGCACAAAGCAGAGCAGUGUGAAGAAGAAGAGGCGAUGACCCCUAGACCGACCAAAGCCCGUGCUCCACUGCCCAGUGCCUAUGUCCCACCACUGUCGCUGCCACCCUGCCCGAGAGAAAGGCUGAAGGGGAUGCUAAAGGAGAUAAAACCAAGGUUAAGUAGGAACUGCAGAGAAGAUCCACAAGGUUGUCUGCUAAACCUGCUCCUCCAAAGCCACAGCCGAAGCCCAGAAAGGCCUCUGCAAAGAAGAGAGAGAAGGUACCUACAGAGAAGAAGGGAAAAGCUGAUGCUGGCAAGGAGGGGAAUAACCCUGCAGAAAAUGGAGAUGCCAAAACAGACUAGGCACAGAAAGCUAAAGGUGCUGGAGAUGCCAAGUGAAGUGUGUGCAUUUUUGAUAACUGUGUACUUCUGGUGACUGUACAGUUUGAAAUACUAUUUUUUAAUCAAGUUUUAUAAAAAUGCAGAUUUUGUUUAGCUUUUUUUUUUUUUUUUAAGCUAUGUUAGUACACAGAAUACUUCAUUGUUGUUUUGGGGAGAAGGGCCAUA
rnacentral:lncRNA from 1 species